UUCCGGUUGAUCCCGCCGGAGGCUACCGCUAUUGGAGUUCGAUUAAGCCAUGCGAGUCGCGAGUCUUAGGGACUCGGCGUACCGCUCAGUAACACGUGGGUAACCUGCCCUAUGCAGGGGGAUAACCUCGGGAAACUGAGAAUAAUACCCCAUAGUUCACCACGCCUGGAACGGUGGGUGGAUGAAAGCUCCGGCGGCAUAGGAUGGGCCUGCGGCGUAUCAGGUUGUAGGGGGUGUAAUGUACCCUCUAGCCAUCUACGCGUACGGGUGUUGGGAGACAUCGCCCGGAGAUGGAUUCUGAGACACGAAUCCAGACCCUACGGGGUGCAGCAGGCGCGAAAACUUGGCAAUGCGAGCAAUCGUGACCAGGGAACUCCAAGUGCAUCGGGUAAGACCGAUGCUUUUCUUGACUCUUCAAAGGUCUUGGAAUAAGGGGUGGGUAAGGACGGUGCCAGCCGCCGCGGUAAUACCGGCGCCUCAAGUGGUAGUCGCUUUUAUUGGGCCUAAAACGUCCGUAGCCGGUUUGGUACAUUCGUGGGUAAAUCAAGGCGCUCAACGUCUUGAAUUCUGCGAGCACGGCCAGACUUGGGACCGGGUGAGGUGUGGGGUACUCUCAGGGUAGGGGUAAAAUCCUGUCAUCCUGAGAGGACCACCUGUUGCGAAGGCGCCACACUAGAACGGAUCCGACGGUCAGGGACGAAGCCUAGGGGCACGAACCGGAUUAGAUACCCGGGUAGUCCUAGGUGUAAACGCUGUGGACUUGAUGUUGGGAGUGCUCCGAGCACCCUCAGUGUCGAAGCGAAGGUGAUAAGUCCACUGCCUGGGGAGUACGGUCGCAAGGCUGAAACUUAAAGGAAUUGGCGGGGGAGCACUGCAACCUGAGGAUUGUGCGGUUUAAUUGGAGUCAACGCCGG
rnacentral:rRNA from 1 species